rnacentral:lncRNA from 1 species
UGAUGUGAGUUGACCCAUGUUGCUCUGUGUUGACCCACGUUGAUGAGUGUUGACCCACGUUGAUGUGUGUUGACCCAUGUUGCUGUGUGUUGACCCACACCGUUCCAUACUGAUGUGUUAAGGUGAGAUUGUCUCAUGCUGAAUCAGGGUUGAUCUGUUUUGGACCACGUUGACACGUGUUGAUCCACACUGACGUGUGCUCAUUUGCUUUGAGUUGACCCUUGUGUUGAUGCAUGUUGAUGUAUGUGGAGCCAUGUUUGGAGCCAUGUUGGUGUAUGUGGAGCCAUGUUGAUCUGUUUUGCUACCUCUAUGGAUCCACAUUGACAACAUAACUCUCUUUUGACCUCUGUUGGCCCACAUAUGACUCAUGUUGACUCAUGUUGACCCACAAUGAGCUGCUGUCAGCCUGCAUAGCCCCAUGUAGAUCACGUUGACCCAUGUAGAUCACAUUGACUCAUGCUGGCUCCUACGUAGCUCCAUGUUGAUCAUAUUGACCCAUGUUGGUCCCUACAUAGCUCCAUGUUGAUCCACAUUGACCCAUGUUGAUGAUAUUGACCCAUGUUUGCCCCUACGUAGCUCCAUGUUGAUCCCAUUGACCCAUGUUGGCUCCUACGUAGUUCCAUCUUGAUCACAUUGACCCAUGUUGGCCUCUACGUAGCUCCAUGUUGAUCACAUUGACCCAUGUUGGCCCCUACAUAGCUCCAUAUUGAUCAUGUUGACCCAUGAUGGCUCCUAUGUAGCUCCAUGUUGAUCACAUUGACCCAUGUUGAUCACAUUGACCCAUGUUGGCCCCUACGUAGCCCUAUGUUGAUCACACUGACCCAUGUUGGCCCCUACGUAGCCCUAUGUUGAUCACACUGACCCAUGUUGGCCCCUAUGUAGCUCCAUGUUGAUCCACGUUGACCCAUGUAGGCCCAUGAUGAUCUGCUGUCAGCCUACGUAGCUCCAUGUUGACCACGUUGACCUAUCUAUCUCUUUGCAGGUGAGAAACCCCACCAGUGCAGCAUCUGUUGGCGCUCCUUCUCUCUAA